rnacentral:rRNA from 1 species
UGGGGAAUUUUGGACAAUGGGGGCAACCCUGAUCCAGCAAUGCCGCGUGUGUGAAGAAGGCCUUCGGGUUGUAAAGCACUUUUGUCCGGGAAGAAAUCCCCUGCCCUAAUACGGCGGGGGGAUGACGGUACCGGAAGAAUAAGCACCGGCUAACUACGUGCCAGCAGCCGCGGUAAUACGUAGGGUGCGAGCGUUAAUCGGAAUUACUGGGCGUAAAGCGUGCGCAGGCGGUGAUGUAAGACCGAUGUGAAAUCCCCGGGCUCAACCUGGGAACUGCAUUGGUGACUGCAUUGCUCGAGUAUGGCAGAGGGGGGUGGAAUUCCACGUGUAGCAGUGAAAUGCGUAGAGAUGUGGAGGAACACCGAUGGCGAAGGCAGCCCCCUGGGCCAAUACUGACGCUCAUGCACGAAAGCGUGGGGAGCAAACAGGAUUAGAUACCCUGGUAGUCCACGCCCUAAACGAUGUCAACUGGUUGUCGGGCCUUCAUUGGCUUGGUAACGUAGCUAACGCGUGAAGUUGACCGCCUGGGGGAGUACGGUCGCAAGAUUAAAACUCAAAUGAAUUGACGGGGUCAUAGCUGUUUCCU